AUCUGGUGAUGUGGCAACCCAAAGUAGACUGUUUAUCUGCUGCUGUUGGAGAAAAUCCAAAGCAAGUCUUUCUCUGUGAGGUCUGGCGUUAUCCUCAAGUAAGGAAGAGGAGACUAAUGGGAUCGGGUGGUCAGGCUCGCUGACUUAGUUGAACAUGUCAUUGGUUCCCAAUUGCGUAGAUUGAUGCUCAUGCUAUUGAUCACUGGAUUGUCUGGUCCAGUCUCGAUUAUUUACAGAUCGCCACCAUAUAACUGGAAUAUUGCUGAGUGCAGCGUAAAACACUCACUCAUUCAAGUUUCGACCAAUCCUUUGUGAGAAUGGAAUCACUACUGGUCAUAAAAUUUCAUCCAAAUAACGCUGGCCGGUCAAAUAUCCCUGGACAAUCACAAGAUCAGUUCAGUGGUCAUACCUUAUUCCACCCCACACCAUUACACUUCUGUAUCUGUCAUGCUCUUGAACAUUGACGUCAUGAUAGUGCUCCCCCCUUGUCGACCAUUUCUGAAUCUCAUCAGGAACCUUGACUAGCCGGUAAACCUGUCACAAUUACCAAACUGUCAAGACCACUGAAGUCUCAGCCUCUUGUGUUGCACAGUAAGUUGAAUUCCAUGGGAUGGGCGCCUUGACUUUAACUGGGUAGACUUCAGUCUGUUUCUCACUGAACUGCAGGAAAUUCAUAUUACUGUUUUUGUUCGCUAUCGUCUCUGAAUUUCUGAUACUGUCAUGAACUGAAUUCUAAUUGCAAUUAUUGUAAUGAAGCGAUCUUGUUGCAUACCGUGCUGAUACACAUGCAAAUCAUGAUUCAACGCUGGCACAAUCUCCUUCAUGCUUUCUUUAAGUGUCAUAUGUUUCGUUCGGAUUACUGAUCAGGUUCAAAUCCAGCAUUGUCUUAAAAAUACGCAACUUAAAGUUAAGUUGACUUCUUUGAGUGGCAUUUUGGAAUGAGCUGUAAAGUUGGUCCUAUUGUACAGGUGUUCCCUUAAAUUUUGUUUCCUGUAUAUAACUCUUUCAUAUUAUGACAAACAGACUUUAUAAAUAUCUUAGGAAAACUUUUUCUGGCUUUUCUGUCAAUACAUAAAUAAUUGAUAUCUCAAUUUAAAAGAAACUUACCAGUUACCUGUUGUAAUGAACAAUCCGCAUUUCGUCUUCUCGACAGUGGGGUAUGGCUGACCAAGUCAUCUAAGGUGCUGGGAUUCCCA